rnacentral:lncRNA from 1 species
GGUAUUACAAUUUACAAUCUUCAAACUAAACCAACCAUCUCAAAGUAUAGUAUAGUAUCCUCAACCCUCAACCCUCACCAGUCACCCCCCACCCCCACCCCACCCCACCCAUACACACACAAAGAAAGAAAGACCCUCCAAGAAAUUAUAAAGACAUCCUUAAAUCUUGACUUGAGAAAUCAAUUACUACUAGUUAAGAGCACUGGAAGCCAGCAGGAGCUUCUUUGGAACAAACAUUAAGAAGCAAACUAAGUGAAACUGGAACAUUAAGGUUAAUCCCCAAAAUAUUAGCCUUAAUAGCAGUGCAAAGACAAAGAGCAGCUUCAGCAUUAGCAAGUCCAGAAAGUAGGCUACAACAAGGUGUCACUGGUGGUGAGCCAAUAACAGCAUUCACUAAACCAAGAACAUCAGCACAAACACCCAACUUAAGUGUAUCAAUUGGGCAAGUUUCUGUAGGAUAAUAAGGAGGUGGAGGGCAUGAUGGUUUUGGUUUUGGCUUUGGCUUUGGUUUAGGACAAGUGCCACAGCCAGAAACUACGGCAA